UACGGAGGGAGCUAGCGUUGUUCGGAAUUACUGGGCGUAAAGCGCACGUAGGCGGACUCUUAAGUCGGUGGUGAAAUCCUGGAGCUCAACUCCAGAACUGCCUUCGAUACUGAGAGUCUCGAGUCCGGGAGAGGUGAGUGGAACUGCGAGUGUAGAGGUGAAAUUCGUAGAUAUUCGCAAGAACACCAGUGGCGAAGGCGGCUCACUGGCCCGGUACUGACGCUGAGGUGCGAAAGCGUGGGGAGCAAACAGG
rnacentral:rRNA from 1 species